rnacentral:rRNA from 1 species
GACGGAAGGUGCAAGCGUUGCUCGGAAUCACUGGGCGUAAAGGGCGCGUAGGCGGCCACCGCAAGUCGACUGUGAAAUCUCCGGGCUUAACCCGGAAAGGUCAGCCGAUACUGCGGGGCUAGAGUGCAGAAGGGGCAACUGGAAUUCUCGGUGUAGCGGUGAAAUGCGUAGAUAUCGAGAGGAACACCUGCGGCGAAGGCGGGUUGCUGGGCUGACACUGACGCUGAUGCGCGAAAGCGUGGGGAGCGAACAGG